UCCGAAAUGGUGUAGUGGCUAACAUUAUCGCCUCUCAUUGCCAUAGGCAGUGAUCGCGAUAGCCCGGGGUUCGAUUCCCCGUUUCGGAA
rfam:Jaapia argillacea MTCL 33604 unplaced genomic scaffold JAAARscaffold_10, whole genome shotgun sequence.